GCCUUUAGAGGAAAAAAAAAAAAAAAAAAACUAGAUUUGGAACCCUCAUAGCAGCCUCUCCUUGCUCCGGCUUGGGGUCCACGGCAAUCCGACUCCCACCUUUUUCUAGUCAUCCUUCCCUCUUUUACUUCCUUCUCCACCCUCUGCAUCUUCCUUCUUCCCCCAUCUUUCCCCCAUCCUUCCCUUAUCCUUCCCACCUUUUUCUAGCCCUCCUUCCUUUUUUUCCUUCCAUCUCCACCCUUUGCAUCUUCCCUUUUCCCCUUCUUUCCCCCCUCCUUCCCUUAUCCUUCCCACCUUUUUCUAUCCCUCUUCCUUUGCCCUUCCACCUUUGCAUCUUCCUUCUUCCCCCUUCUUCCCCUUCUUUCCCCCAUCCUUCCACUCAAAAGGUUUUUUAAUUUUUUUUUAAUUUUUUUUAACUUGGGUGGAUGUAUAAGUGUUUUUUGCCCAAUUUGGUAAAAUUAUGGGAGCACUCACUGCGCUGGUGGCUCACUCACCCCCAUUUUCAGCCUAUCUAGUUGUUCCAUUAGUUCAUUCUUUUAGUGGUGGUGGUGGCUUUGGGAUGGAGGUGCAUUUGGUGACUGCUAGUUUCCAUUCUAGUCUUCGGUUUUUUUUGUUGUUGUUGUUCAUCUGGUCACUUUUGGGCCUUUCUACUAUAUUUUGUUGUUGUUGUUGGGCUUGUAUUUAGGUUGUAGACUGCCUUUUGGGCUCUCUUUUCCUUGUACUUGUAUUUUUAUUUAAUGGAAGUAAUUUUGUUUGACCCAAAAAAUAAUAAUAGUAAAGUGAACAAUUGCCCUUUAUAUUUAUG
rnacentral:lncRNA from 1 species